AUUGAACGCUGGCGGCAGGCCUAACACAUGCAAGUCGAACGGUAACAGGAAACAGCUUGCUGUUUCGCUGACGAGUGGCGGACGGGUGAGUAAUGUCUGGGAAACUGCCUGAUGGAGGGGGAUAACUACUGGAAACGGUAGCUAAUACCGCAUAACGUCGCAAGACCAAAGAGGGGGACCUUCGGACCUCUUGCCAUCGGAUGUGCCCAGAUGGGAUUAGCUAGUAGGUGGGGUAACGGCUCACCUAGGCGACGAUCCCUAGCUGGUCUGAGAGGAUGACCAGCACACUGGAACUGAGACACGGUCCAGACUCCUACGGGAGGCAGCAGUGGGGAAUAUUGCACAAUGGGCGCGAGCCUGAUGCAGCCAUGCCGCGUGUAUGAAGAAGGCCUUCGGGUUGUAAAGUACUUUCAGCGGGGAGGAAGGGAGUAAAGUUAAUACCUUUGCUCAUUGACGUUACCCGCAGAAGAAGCACCGGCUAACUCCGUG
rnacentral:rRNA from 1 species